AACGAACGCUGGCGGCAUGCCUAACACAUGCAAGUCGAACGAGACCUUCGGGUCUAGUGGCGCACGGGUGCGUAACGCGUGGGAAUCUGCCCUUGGGUUCGGAAUAACAGUUGGAAACGACUGCUAAUACCGGAUGAUGACGUAAGUCCAAAGAUUUAUCGCCCAGGGAUGAGCCCGCGUAGGAUUAGCUAGUUGGUGGGGUAAAGGCCUACCAAGGCGACGAUCCUUAGCUGGUCUGAGAGGAUGAUCAGCCACACUGGGACUGAGACACGGCCCAGACUCCUACGGGAGGCAGCAGUGGGGAAUAUUGGACAAUGGGCGAAAGCCUGAUCCAGCAAUGCCGCGUGAGUGAUGAAGGCCUUAGGGUUGUAAAGCUCUUUUACCCGGGAUGAUAAGGACAGGACCGGGAGAAUAAGCCCCGGCUAACUCCGU
rnacentral:rRNA from 1 species